AUGAACUCGUUCCCCCUUUCCGACGUACGUGGGCCUCCUCAGAAUCUCUUCGAUGGAAUGGGACAAUCUCUUGUGCGGCUGGGAUUCCACCUCCAGAUCCGCACGCGACUCCUUCUCGCCAUCUCCUCUAUCCCCCAUGUCCAGAAGUGUGUCUCCCGCCAUCAGCACCUUCGCCACGCUCACCGUUCACCGCUAUUGAGGCGCUGGGAAUGUCCUCUUAUGGCCACGUCUCAGACUUCUCCUUCUACUCCGCUCUGGGAGACUUGUUACCUCUUUCUUUCUGCAAGGCCAAGGUCCCCCAAACUGAUGGCGAGAUGGAGCAGGGACCCCCUAUUCUACGGAGUUUGGUGUGUGCUGUCGUAUUUGCAUGAAAGGAGCUGUGAGUGAACCAGUGGUCAGCUCCUCCUGUGGGAAGCUGAGUUUGUGUGUUGCGGACUGGAAGAUAACGUCUGCUCCAUCAAUGUAUUCAUUCGCUACAACAUUUGGAUUCAUGUCAAUGUGUAUUUAAAGACAAUAAAUACAAUUCUGAAGACAUUUAAAUUUGUGGGAAAAAAAUUGUUUUAUCCACCCAAAAUAUCGCGACUCCUGUGCAGCACCUCUGCGGACCCCCUGGGGUCGCGGACCCCCUGUUGAAGACCUCUGCACUAUUAGACCUAAUGUCUCAACAACAAUUAAAUCAAUUUGAAUGAAACAUUUUACAUUAUCGUCUCAGCUAACACCACCAUGAGGUCUUAAUUUCCAGUACACCAGGUUCAUUAUUAAAAUAAAUAAUAAUAAAAAAAAUAUUUAAAUAGAAGGAGACACUAGAAAAACAUACAGCACAGUUAUGCUGUAUAUAAUUAUGAUUAUUUUUACAUUUUUAAUUAUCGAAAUUAUUUAACGAUUGAAGUGUACUUUAGUGUAAUGUUUAGUGUACUUUUACAAUUGCACUAAAAACUAGUAUUGCAGUACUAAAAACUUGAUAAGCAGCACCUCUGGGAUUAAUCUGAGACACGGUGUUCCUUUAAUUACCUUUGUGCUUAAAUAGCCUACUGCAGGUUUUUUAUUCCUCGAGUCAUGCAGCGGCCUGCCUGUCACCUGGACCUUCACACUGAAACAAGAAAACACUCAGCGAAUAUAACGUUGUGUGGAUGCCAAUUGCGUGAAAACCUGAGCUUCCUGCUGCCGUAGUACGACUUCCUUAAUGAAGUAGAUGUGGGCCGCUAUCAAACUCUUAAUAUAAACUAAUAAUGAAUUGAUUGAAUGUAAUAUAUUGUAGGGGAAGUAGAAAGUUAUGGUUAAUGGAAUAAAUUAAGUUAACGUUCACUGAACUUUGACCCAUCAUCAGUUAGAGAUGUGCACCAUGUGACAACAUGUGAUAGUCUGGAAGGUUUGUCCUCUAUAUAAUAAAUAUCGGGUGCUGGAACUGGAAAGAAAAGUAGGCCAGAAAGGGCAAACACGUGCACAAGCUAUGGCCGGAAGACUGUAUUUCAACUUUUCCUUAUCUCUCCCAAAAUGUGACUUGUUUUAUAACAAAAAAAGUCAUCUAAACAGUGCAUUGCCUUGAAGGCCCUGCUCCUAAAUUCCCCUCAAUGAAUCGUACCCUUUCAUGAUGGUCUGUCGUCUCAGAGGGGCUUUGUAAACUAGAUUAGGAGGCUGUUUGAGGUAAAACCGGGAAAAGAGGAACAAUGCACUCUCGCAUUGACCAGUUUGGGAGUCAUUAUUAGUCCUCAAAACGAAACUCCGCUCCGUGCUGCCAAAGAGCACCGGCACCGACCCGCUUCCCGGAUCUCUCCUCCCUCUGUCUCCCCCCGGCCCGCUCCUCCCUCCCUCUUGUCUCCCCUCCUCUCCUGACGUCUUCCCUUCCCUCGCGGUGCAGUUUCUUCACUUUACAGUUUUACAAUCCCAUAAAGGCCACCUGAUUUGUCGUCCGACAAUGACUUUAGGAAGGGACAGUAAUGGUCGUGAUGUCGAUGCUUUUGCAGUGAGUAUGACUUUUGAUUAAUUCUUCACCUGGGGAAUGUUUGACAAAAAUGAUUUUUUU
ensembl:lncRNA